AAAUGGAGGGAGCCCAGAAGCAGUAGUGGCUGGGCAGGAAUGAGCCUCCCAUGUUCCGCUGCCUCCAGAAAUUCCUGAGUCUGAAAUGUUUCAAUGAGAAAUUUCUCUUCUCAGCAAAACUAGAGCUGAUAAAAGAAAAGAAAAGAAAAGAAAAGAAAAGAAAAGAAAAGAAAAGAAAGAGGUCAGGCAAAUCAACAUUUCCCUAAUGGAACAAGUUGAAGAUCUCCUUGAGCAGCUCUGUGCUUAGUAAUACCCCAGUAAGCAAGAUAGCAGUGAAAGAAGUCUGAAUAAAACAGAAGACAUUUGUUUCCUUAGAGUAACCAGCAGGUGCUAAGACUGGCUGCCACGCAAGGAAGAGCCCUCAUGGUUGGAGCUGUUCAGAGUUUGCAGUAUUCAUCAAAACAUUCUGUUUCAGGGCUCCAAAAACUGUUUGGCAAGACACUUACAUGACAACCCUCAGCAAGAAGCAUGGACACCAUAGGCUCCUCCAGCAAUCCCUGAAGAAGGACUGGCACAUCCUCACCUCUCACAUGCUGAUUAGCUGUCUGGCACAGCUUCCAUUGUCUCCUACAAGUCUUGCUACUUCUGUACCAAAGCCAAGGAUCUAAAAUGAGUGCAGCGAGUGUCAGUCUGUGCCAUCUGCAGGAGCAGAUGGGCAGAGGACCAUACAUGCUACAGGGACCCAAUGGCAGAGUAUUUUCGCUGUGGCAGUGUGGGCUACAAGCAGGGCCAGCAACAUUGGUCAAAUCGUGCAGGUCCUCGUCAUGCUCAGAAAGAAGAUAAGACUGCAUUGCUCAUUUACCAGAUGCCACUAGUGGUUCUCACAUGGUAAUUUUCCAUUGUAACUGCUGGCGUCUUGAGCAAAAUAUGAUCCAAAAGAAAAGGCUCUGUGUGCCAUUAUCAAUCUACUAAGCCCGAUGUCCUACCAGCUGUGACAUCAUUAGCUGCACAUCUGUCUCUAAACUGGAGGUGAUUUUUUACCCUUUUAUCCCAUGUCCACUCCAAAUAAGCUCUGAAUAAAAGACACUUGUUAAAGUUCAACUGUAGCAGGGGUUGCAUCAAGGAUUAAGAGAUCGCAGAUGGGCAGGCCCAAGCCUCUAUCACUGAAUACAAAGAUAUAUGGUCUAUUCUCUCCUUGUGACUCAUGUGAUACUCUUGAUAAGAUGAAUGUAAGUUUCUGGCAGCCAUACAGAGUGAAAUCUAUACCCCAGGAAUGCAUAUAAUUCAACUUCUACUUAAGCCUGAAAUGAUGGGUAUAUGUAUAAUAGUAGCCAGUGAAGUAGCACUGAGAAAAUGUGGGAUUUUUCAGAUUAGAUCAGGGGGAAGAAGUGGGACAGAAAAGCAACUCAAGAUCCAUCUAAAGUAAAUAUCUGAACGAAUUUUUAGCCAAUUAGAAAUAUGUUAUCUCUGGUGUUUUGCUGAAAGAAAAGAAAAACAUUGCAAAAAAUGUCAAAAGAAGGGCUUUGUCUGUACUGGGCUUAAUUCCUUGUUGGGAGAAACCCUUUAAGAGACAAUUUGCCUUAAGCAUGAAAGAAAUGAUCCUACAGCUUCCACUGGAAGCGGUUCUGGACACGUCUGGGUUGUACCUGUACAGUGACUGCUCACGUUCCAUCAUAUCAAAAGUCAGUUUUAUCUCAUAUUCAUGCAUUUGUUUUGCAAGCAAAACCAGGAAUCACACUGUGAAUUGCAAAAUCACAGACUGGCUACUGUUUGGGUGGCCUCAUCACAGCCCCUGCCAGAGCACAAAUAAGAAAUUCUGACUUUUUAACAGAGUCAGGAGUACUCUAUAAUCCAAAUGGCUCCAUAAUGAACAAGCUCUUUUUUAGUGUGAGGCCUUAUUCAUUGAAAGUCUACUUUUUUACUUGCAGCAUACUGUUAAAACAGCCAUAGUGUUGCCCUGACUGUUUUGGUUUUGGACUAAACACAGUAUAGUAAGUCAAACAUUAUUGGUCACAAUGGUAAUGCAGAGUGCAUAUAAUGUCUUUUUAUUGCUGCAAGGCAUAGUUGAAAUAUUUACACGGAAUACAUGAAAUAACAGCAAGAUUCAUGUUCUGUUCCUUAUUUGUAAAGUAUUUUAUUAAAAGGAAUCUGAAUCUGAAGUUCAUAAAUAAAAUAGUAAUAUCACUUAUAU
rnacentral:lncRNA from 7 species